CCCAAACCUCAAAUCCUCUCAGACCCCAAACAAAAAUUGGGUCUCACUCUCUCCUCUCAGACCCCAAACCCCAACCUUCUCUCCGUAAGUCUCUCCUCUGUCAAACUUCCAAACUUCUCUCCUCUGUAAGUCUCUCCGUAAGUUUGGAUAUGCAUGAGUCAAGUGCACAAAUGAAAUCUUCCAAUCAAGUGGGACCAUUUCCUUCUGGAGUUCAUGGUGUUGGUCCUCAGCACCCGUUAGUUGCUAAUCAAUUUCAGGUUCCACAUAUGGAUGGAAUUGAGAACCGCUGGUCUGAGAAAAAUGAGCAGCUUGAAAAUGACUUUGUUGAUUCCCGGUUUCAACAGUCGUAUAUUACUGAGCGACAGAAAAUGGAGUGUGAAGUAAAAAUGACUUCUGAUGAUUCUACUUUAUGGAUGUCAAAUGAUGAGAAGUCAAAGAGAUUAUUGAUUAACAAGAGCCUUGGGUCAAUGGAGAAAGUCCAUGAGUUCCCACGAAAAGAAACAAGUUUAACAGAUGGGAACCUGAUUUCAUUUGGAACUGGUAAUGCAACGUGCAGGUUUUCUUUUAUUCCACUCAUUAUUUGAGUAUACUCUUUGGAGCUUGUUAUUUGAGUAUACUCUUUGGAGCCCAAUCAAGCGAAUCAACCCCUUAAAGAUAAAUACUGCUAGCAACUUUAUUAUACUAGAGAGUUGCAGAAGAAAAGAUUUGCAAUGAAAUCCCUAGCUGCAGCAAGCUGACCCAGAGAUAAAUGAAGUAUAUGCUCACAUGACACUCCAACCGGUUCAUACCGUCGAUAAAGAUGCACUGCUGAGGUUGACCUUGCUCUCAAGACAAAUAAACCCCAACCUGAGUUUUUCUGUAAAAUACUGACAGCAAGUGAUACAAGUACUCAUGGAGCUUUCUCUGUGCCCCGCGGUGCAGCAAAAUGAAUUUUGGCCUGCAAAAUGAAUUCCUUUGGCAGGUAUAUGGGUACAAUCACGGAUAUUAGUGAUCUUGAUCCUGCUAGAUGGAAGAAUUCACAAUGGUGUAAUUUGCAGGUUGGUUGGGACGAAUCAACUGCUGGGGAAUGGCAUAAUAGGGUCUCAAUCUGGGAGAUUGAACCUGUUAUAGCUCCAUUUGUAAUAUUCCCCCUCCAUUUUUCAGAUCAAAAUGUCCCAAGCAACUGGGAAUAUAAGGAGUUAGCGAGUGAUGUUGCACACUAAGUUCAUGAUGCCAAAUUUCUACAAGAACUUGUGUUUUUGUAAGUAUUGGAGACUUGGGUCCUAUAAUGUUUUGGUAUAUAUUGACUUUUUUAUUUUGUUUUAAUAUACCUUGAAUGAAAUAUAGUAUUAGAGAGAUAAAAUUAGUUCAUUGAAAUUGUUGAGUAUGGAAAAAUAUUAAAAGAAUAAGAGAGUAAACUUAUGAUUUGGAUUGAGACAUUGGUAGCAAGAGAGUUGUGUAACACUUGUGAGUAAACUUAUUUAUUUACAUUACAAUAAAAAUCUAGUUAUAAUCUUUCA